UUGAAAGAACUAUAAUUUGUUCCAAUAUUUGUGUUAAGUGCAUAUGCACUUAAUUUAUGUUUGUAUAGAGAGAUCAGUACAAAAACACACACAUAUUGAUUUAAACAUAAUACAUUUUGUUGUCAUUAGGACCAUAUAUCUCUAAUUUUUUCCAUUUUGUUGUCAUUGUCAUCAUUGUCUAAGUCAAUACAUUUGACUGGGGUCAUCUGUUUGAAGAUCAUUUGAUGGCUUUGCUUAGUGCUAUUGAAGUGGGCCACUCUUAUCAGGGAUUGGCCUCUACUUCUAGGCAAUGUGCAAGAGAAAAUAGAGGACUGAAAAGACUUUUAUGAUGUAUUAAUUAUGAACUUUGAGGUGGUAACUUUAAUCGUAGUAGUGUAGGGGAGGGUAAUGACUGUUUCUUUAUGAAGCCUAAAUUGAUUUCUUGGAGUGUUAUAGGCUUGAAUGAUACUGGCAAAUGCCUUAGAAUCAAAAGUCUACUUUGGCAAUGGAAGAGAUAUAUUAUUCGCUUGCAGCAGAUUAAAUUGGAAAAUGUUUCUCUUGAAGAUGUGUUCAAAGCCUGUGGGGAUCCCCCCAAAUAGAUUGGUUGUUAGUUAGCCUCUUGAGGGGCCUUUGAUGGAGUAUUGCUGGUGUGUGACAUUAGUGUGAAAGUGAUGUGUGUAUGGGGGAGCAUACUAUGGCUUAUUCUUUUAGGAAUGCUGAAGAUGCCUUUGCUUGGGCUUUGGUAGGAGUUUAUGGGCCAAAUUGCGAUUGCAAAAGAAGGUUUCUGCAUGAGUUGUCCAACUCCUAUAGACUUUAUUGGUUUAAUUUUCAUGUUUGUAUUGUGUUUUUUCUCUUUCUAUAUGAGUAUCUAGUACCGACUUUCAAUACCCAUUGAUGAGUGCAGUCCAAGUAACCACAUUCCUACUUGAAGUUUCAUCAGCCUUAACUAAUUUACUGAACCCCUGAUAAUUACUAAUGAAAUUAUUGUCCACCUAUGGGACAGAAUCCUGUAAACAUCUCACAUCCACCAUGUAAUCUUACAACCUUUUUUAAACUAUGAAUCAGUCAAAAUCAGUGCGCAAGCCAGCCAAUACUUAGCCACUAACUAUCAAAUAGUUGUCAGAAAGAUUGCCGUUUGGGUUUUCUUAGGGUAUAGAGAUAUUGCUUUGGUUUCGAUAGUGGAACAUCGAGUUCAGAUCUUUUGUACAAAAAACAAUGAAAAUUCGUGGUGGCCCUAUAAUGCUUAUUAUUUCCUGACCGUAAUUUUUCCUGUGGGGAAUGCGGGGCUUGUCUUGGCCCAAAAGCUGGCUCUCUACCUUGGUGGGGGUGGGCUGCGGGGAGGGUAGCAUCCCUAAUUGGUCGUAUACUCCAUGUAUGUUAUCGUAUAUACUAGAUAGUCAUUCUUACCAUGUAUAGAUGCUAAUAGUUAGGAACUUAUAUGUUGGUUGUUACCUUGUAUAUUUCUUACCUUGUAAAGAAUGGUUGAUUGCCUAGUUAAUGAGAAGGAGGCUGCGCACAUAGCAGACAGGUUUUUCCAAAAAGUUCUCUGAGUAUUCUUGGUUCCUUAGCAAUUUGACAUGGUAUCAAGAGGAGGAUCAUAGUUUUCCUGUCUUCUAUGAAUUUUUUUUCCUUUCUCGGGGGCUUCUUUGUGUGUUCUUCAUUCUCGGCACUGUCUGAGUUUGUGUUUGGCCUUUCGUGUGCUUCUCGGUGCUGUCAGAGUUUGUUCUUGGCCUCUCGUGUGACUAUCGGCAUUGUCUGAGUUGAAGUCUGGGGUUCCUUGUGAUUUUCGGUGCCCUCUAAGUGCUUCUUGUGCAUUAUUGGUACUGUCUGCGUCGGUUUUUGGCAUUCCUAGUGUUUUUCGACCCCGUUUGUUGCUCUAUGGGAUUUCAUCUCAUUGUCGGUACUUUCUUUUUUCUGGUUUUUGGGAUUUUGACGCAGAGUACUAUGUUCUUUUCGACGCAGAGUUAUUUUUUUUGGCCUGGGUGUUAUCUCCGAAUCUAGGACACGUGGUUGUUGUGGCUGCAGCAACUGGGUGUUAUUUUUUUUGUAGUUCCUAAAUCUUGUCACUGCGGCAUCUCUCCGGUGGACGUUCUUGUGGCUGCAUCAUGUUAUCAGAUAAGUUUGAUUCCUUUCAUCUUCGUUUGACUGGCAAAAAUUAUUCAGCUUGGGAGUUUCAGUUUCAAUUAUUUUUCUAGGGGAAAGAGUUGUGGGGUCAUAGUGACGGGAGUGAUCCCGCACCUAGCGAUGUAGAGGCUUUGUCUAAGUGGGAAAUCAAAGAUGCUCAGGUUAUGACCUGGAUUCUUAGCUCGGUUGAGACUCACCUUGUUCUGAAUAUGAGGCCUUAUAAAACUGCCGCUAAUAAGUGGAAUUACCUUAACAAGGUUUACAAUCAAGACAACACGGCUCAGUGCUUUCAAUUGGAGUAUGAGAUGGCUAAUUUCACAUAGGGAAGUCUCUCUGUUGAGGAAUAGUUUUCUGGUUUUCAAAAUUUGUGGGCUGACUAUUCAGACAUUGUUUAUGCUAAUGUUCCCGCUACAGCUCUCUCUGCCGUUCAAGUAGUGCAUGAAACAAGCCAGAGAGAUCAAUUCUUGAUGAAGCUCUAUUCCGAUUUUGAAAUUGCACAUUCUAAUCUGAUGAAUUGUCAUCCUGUACCAUCUCUGGAUGCUUGUUUGAGCGAACUUCUUCGUGAGGAGCAGCAUAUGGUAACUUAGGCUGCCAUGGAACAUCGGGCUAAUGUUAGUGCACCUGUUAUUGUGGCUUAUGCAGCACAAGGGAGGAAUAAGGGUAGCAACAUGCGUGUUGUCCAGUGUUUUAGUUGUAAAUUUUUUGGUCAUAUUGCUCGGGAUUGCCCCAAGAAGUUCUGUAACUACUGCAAGAAAAAAGGCCAUAUCAUCUCUGCUUGUCCCAUUCGCCUUGAAAGGAAGCAGGUUAUUGCUUAUCAUGCCUCCACUGGUGCCUCUAGCUCUGCUGCACUGCCUGUUGCCUCGUCUGUUGUUCCUAUUCUUGCUCCUAUAGCCUUAGCAAACCCGAACACACUCACUCCUGAAAUGGUACGACAGAUUAUCAUUUGGUUUUUUUUGCUUUUGGGCUCUCAGGUAAUCAUAAAGUUUCUUCUAAGCCAUGAUAUUUUGACUCCAGAGCCUCUAACCAUAUGACCAAUACGGUUGUUCCUCUUUCCAAUGUCAGAAAUUAUGAUGGAACUCUGAAAAUUAACACCGCUGAUGGCAGUUCUCUACUUAUCAGCGCUGAUCAAGUGUCAGGAAAGAUGAUCGCGAAGGGGCCUAACGUGGGACGACUCUUUCCUUUCUACGUUUCUCCUUCCACCAUUAUCCCUAGUUUUCCUUUACUUUCUUUUGCAUGUAAUGUUGUUGGUUCUGGAAAUAAGAGGUGGCAUAGUCGUCUAGGCCACCCAAACUUUGAUGUACUUCAUACUUUGUUUAAUUCUAAUUUAUUGGGAAAUAAAACAUGUUCUUCUCUUGAUCUUUC